ACUAACGCUGGCGGCGUGCCUAACACAUGCAAGUCGAACGAGGAUUCAUGAGUAGCAAUACGAUUGAAUUUCUAGUGGCAGACGGGUGAGUAACGCGUAGAUAACGUGCCCUUCAGUUUGGGAUAGCUGGCCGAAAGGCCAGGUAAUACCAAAUUCGCUCUCGUCGGGACAUCCCGAUGCGAGGAAAGCAGCAAUGCGCUGGAUGAGCGGUCUGCGUCCUAUUAGCUAGUUGGUGGGGUAACAGCCUACCAAGGCGACGAUGGGUAGCCGGUCUGAGAGGAUGAUCGGCCACACUGGCACUGAGACACGGGCCAGACUCCUACGGGAGGCAGCAGUGAGGGAUUUUGCGCAAUGGGCGAAAGCCUGACGCAGCGACGCCGCGUGAGGGAUGACGGUCUUCGGAUUGUAAACCUCUGUCAGAGGGGAAGAGUAAGGACGGUACCCUCUGAGGAAGCUUCGGCUAACUACGU
rnacentral:rRNA from 1 species